CCCUUCAGAGGGGGACAACAGUUGGAAACGACUGCUAAUACCGCAUACGAUCUAAUCUCGGCAUCGAGGAUAGAUGAAAGGUGGCCUCUACAUGUAAGCUAUCACUGAAGGAGGGGAUUGCGUCUGAUUAGCUAGUUGGAGGGGUAACGGCCCACCAAGGCGAUGAUCAGUAGCCGGUCUGAGAGGAUGAACGGCCACAUUGGGAUUGAGACACGGCCCAG
rnacentral:rRNA from 1 species